UGCCAGGACCAUAAAGAACAUGAUGAACUGACUGACCUCAUGCAAGUCACCCAAAACGAGGAUCAACUAAAUUAUUCAAACUGAACUGGAAAUAUGAGUGCUCACCAGCCAGCUGGGAGGCCCCACUGGAGAUGCUGGAAACACAGGGUCUCCUCAUACCAGCAAAUGGGGCAAUAAGAAGGCACACAAGUUGAACAGUAAUUGAGCAGGUACCUCUCACGAAAUACUCAAUUGGAAGAAGUUUGUAAUCCUCCUCCACCAAGGCAGAAUGGACAGUAAGAGAAAGGUCUUCCUCUUCUGUUGGUUCACCCACCAAUGGCCACCGUGGCCAGCAUGCUGUGGCUGGCGCACAGUGCUGAUCCGAAGCCAGGAGCCAGGUGCUUCUCCUGGUCUCCCAUGCGAGUGCAGGGCCCAAGCACUUGGGCCAUCCUCUACUGCACCCCCGGGCCACAGCAGAGAGCUGGACUGGAAGAGGAGCAACCAGGACAGAAUCCACUGCCCCGACCAGGACUAGAACUUGGUGUGCCGGUGCCGCAGGCAGAAGAUUGGCCUAUUGAGCUGCGGCACCAGCCUAUUAAUUGUAUUUUAAUUAUAUGCAUAUACACACAUAUUACAUACAUACAAAUACAUCAUUGACACAUACAGACCCAGACAUUUGUCAGGAUAUUUUGAAUGUUCAGAAGGUUUUUAAUUUAUAACAUUUCAUAGCUUCAUUUUAUGAAUAGUCUUAAUUAUGUGUUUAUAUGAGAUUUUCUGACCUAUUUGUGACCUAUUUGUCUCUUAAGACUGAUCCAUCAAAUGAAGUUAAAAUUUGAAAAAUGUAAUGUCACUGAAGGUAGCUGGGCUUAGACAUCAUAGAACAUUAUUCUUGGGUAUGUCAUUUUUUUUGUUAUUGUGCAGAGACCUGAGGUUUUGCUGCUGCUGUUCAUGACAUAGACUAUCAGAUUCAUUUUACAGUAGGCUGCACACUGCAAACAACCCCUGAGAUAUACUCCCUUUCCUCGUCUGAGCCAGUGACAUGAGCUGCCUCAGUGGAAUCUGUCGUGGUUGGUUAUGAGUGACACAUAGAAAACAAAGGGUUUUGCCUAACACUGGGAAAAUGUGGAAGACGCUACUUGUUCAUAGCUCUGUGCAUGCUUGACUGAUGACACUGGUUCUGUUUCUUUGACGUGGCAAGAGCAUUUGAAGCAAGCAUAUGUGAAGCUAAGCCUGGGGAUAGGAAUUCCUGGCAGCUGAGGAAAGGGAGGUGUAGUUUGCCAAUGCCAUCUGCUUAAUUUUCCUAAUAAUCUAACACCUGCCAGGGAGAUACUUCUUGUAUCCCAAAAUGGUUGAACUGUAGAAAUACCAACAAGUAACUUGCAAAGCUCUUCCCUCUUGUUACUAAGAGUGGCUUUCCAACUUGCCUCUACUCUAAAAUGAUGGCGAUGUUAGUAUCAUUCAGCAACAUCACCACCACCACCACGAUGCCCGUUUCCUGACAGCAUUCCUGGCACCGUGUUUGAAAUAGGAGAGUGAUUAAACAACUGGAUUCUGAGAGAAGUACACCUUUCACCUGAUAGUAAUUUCCACUGUUUACCGCACUUCCAUAAGAGGCUGUCUGGAUAAAGACCUGAUAUCCUUUGGCUUUUCUGUUUUCUUGGAACCAGCUUUGAAAUUCACCUCUGGGGUGAGAGUUUACAAGUGUUCUUUCUUUUUUUUUUAACUUUUAUUUAAUGAAUAUAAAUUUCCAAAGUACAGAAUAUGGAUUACAAUGGCUUCCCCCCCAUAACGUCCCUCCCACACGCAACCCUCCCCUUUCACACUCCCUCUCCCCUUCCAUUCACAUCAAGAUUCAUUUUCGAUUCUCUUUAUAUACAGAAGAUCAGUUUAGCAUACAUUAAGUAAGGAUUUCAACAGUUUGCUCCCACACAGAAACAUAAAGUGAAAAAUACUGUUUGAGUACUAGUUAUAGCAUUAAA